AUGCCUACGGGAGGCAGCGGUGAGGAAUAUUGGUCAAUGGUCGGGAGACUGAACCAGCCAAGCCGCGUGAGGGAGGAAGGUACAGAGUAUCGUAAACCUCUUUUGUCAGGGAACAAAGACUGGGACGCGUCCCCGGAUGAGUGUACCUGAAGAAAAAGCACCGGCUAACUACGUGCCAGCAGCCGCGGUAAUACGUAGGGAGCGAGCGUUGUCCGGAUUUACUGGGUGUAAAGGGUGCGUAGGCGGGUAAGCAAGUCAGAAGUGAAAUCCAUGGGCUUAACCCAUGAACUGCUUUUGAAACUGUU
rnacentral:rRNA from 1 species